rnacentral:rRNA from 1 species
AGGCCUAACACAUGCAAGUCGAGCGGUAACAGAAAGUAGCUUGCUACUUUGCUGACGAGACGGCGGACGGGUGGAGUGAAUGCUUGGGAACAUGGCCUUGAGGUGGGGGACAACAGUUGGAAACGACUGCUAAUACCGCAUAAUGUCUACGGACCAAAGGGGGCUUCGGCUCUCGCCUUUAGAUUGGCCCAAGUGGGAUUAGCUAGUUGGUGAGGUAAUGGCUCACCAAGGCGACGAUCCCUAGCUGGUUUGAGAGGAUGAUCAGCCACACUGGGACUGAGACACGGCCCAGACUCCUACGGGAGGCAGCAGUGGGGAAUAUUGCACAAUGGGCGCAAGCCUGAUGCAGCCAUGCCGCGUGUGUGAAGAAGGCCUUCGGGUUGUAAAGCACUUUCAGUCAGGAGGAAAGGUUAGUAGUUAAUACCUGCUAGCUGUGACGUUACUGACAGAAGAAGCACCGGCUAACUCCGUGCCAGCAGCCGCGGUAAUACGGAGGGUGCGAGCGUUAAUCGGAAUUACUGGGCGUAAAGCGUACGCAGGCGGUUUGUUAAGCGAGAUGUGAAAGCCCCGGGCUCAACCUGGGAACUGCAUUUCGAACUGGCAAACUAGAGUGUGAUAGAGGGGUGGUAGAAUUUCAGGGUGUAGCGGNGAAAAUGCGUAGAGAUCUGAAGGAAUACCGAUGGCGAAGGCAGCCACCCUGGGUCAACACUGACGCUCAUGUACGAAAGCGUGGGGGAGCAAACGGGAAUAGAAUACCCCGGGUAGUUUCACGCCCGGUAAUCGAAUGUCUACUUAGAAAGCCUCGG